rnacentral:misc_RNA from 1 species
GAUGAAGAACGUAGCGAAAUGCGAUAAGUAAUGUGAAUUGCAGAAUUCAGUGAAUCAUCGAAUCUUUGAACGCACAUUGCGCCCGCCAGUAUUCUGGCGGGCAUGCCUGUUCGAGCGUCAUUUCAACCAUCAAGCCCCAGGCUUGUGUUGGAGCCCUGCGGCUGCCGCAGCCCCCCAAAACCAGUGGCGGGCUCGCUAUCACACCGAGUGCAGUAGUUUACUCUUCGCUCAGGGCGUGUGGCGGGUGCUAGCCGUAAAACCCCCAACUUCUCAAGGUUGACCUCGGAUCAGGUAGGAAUACCCGCUGAACUUAAGCAUAUCAAUAAGCGGAGGA